UCUCUUCGGUUCUCCUUCCCAUCGUCUCCUCUGCGCCAGAAAACGCUUCCUUUGUUCCUUCCUGGGGUUCGGAACAGCAACGGUUGCGGCACAGGAGGACUCUUCCAAUGCUCGACAGGUAUAUAACUUACCGGUAAUGCGUUCAUCUUCCGCAAUUCGGACUCAAAAUUCUGCUUUUGUAGAAGAUUGAUCGGAUUUUGACUUUCAGCUGUCUUGUAUCUGUUGCAAUUGGGUUUAUUCCUAUUGUCGGUUAAGUUGCACAUCUUUUUUUUGCUUUUUGGUUCGUCAUUAUGAUUUGAAACACAAACCCUAGGAGUAAGACCAAGUACAAGCAGCCAGACCUUCAGUUGGCAUGCCGGCAAGCAAUAUCAAGCUUAAACAAUAAAGCCAAAGAUCAAAACCAACUAAAAUAAUAAUAUCAAGAUAUAACGUAGCACAACUCUCAAUGGUUGAAGGAACCAUCCAUGGCCAAGCAAGCUAGAAGGUAUUCACUAUAAAAGAUGAGAUUACAACCUUCUCCCUAAUAUACGGAUAAACAAGACACAUUCUCUCUUGUAAUAGAAAAAGCUAAAGAAGAGAAACUCACAAAAGGGAGGAACCAAAUGAAGUAGAAGACUCUCUCGUCACUUCUCUCUUUUUUCUCUUUCCUUCUCUAUUUCUCACUGCACUCUCCACUGGU
rnacentral:lncRNA from 1 species